AGUGAACGCUAGCGGCGUGCCUAAUACAUGCCAGUCGAACGGAGUGGCGCACGGGUGAGUAAUGUAUAGCUAAUCUGCCCGACACUAGAGGACAACAGUUGGAAACGGCUGCUACUACUCUAUAGUGUAGGAUGAGGCUAUAUUGUAUCAGCUAGUUGGUGAGGUAAUGGCUCACCACGGCUAUGACGCAUAACUGGUCUGCGAGGAUGUUCAGUCACACUGGAACUGAGACACGGUCCAGACUCCUACGGGAGGCAGCAGUAGGGAAUAUUGCUCAAUGGGGGAACACCUGAAGCAUCAACGCCGCGUGGAGGAUGACACUGUUCGGAGCGUAAACUCCUUUUGUUAGGGAAGCGGUACCUAACUAAUAAGCACCGGCUAACUCCGUGCCAGCCGCCGCGGUAAUAC
rnacentral:rRNA from 1 species